rnacentral:rRNA from 1 species
AUGCCAUUAGGAACCAAUUCCAUAACGAAACCAGCACUGGAGCACUCCCAGAAGCAAAUUGCAAUGCAAGAGUACAAACGAAACAAAACCGAAGCCAAGGAAUUGCAGGCACAGGCACUUCGCACCGCACGGACUCAUCGGACGGACUGCAUGGGAGGCUGGGUGUUGAGGUUGUCCUCCGCUCGCCGUGUGUGUCUUGUCCGCAUCUUUCAUUGCACGCCGUUGCUGCCUACAGUGCACGCCGGCAAAAGGUUGGUGGAAGAGGGGGUUCAGAGAGAGGGGGAACCAACCGAACAGCAGCACUGA